CGAUUCUGGCUCAGGAUGAACGCUGGCGGCGUGCUUAACACAUGCAAGUCGAACGGGAUCCAUCGGGCUUUGCUUGGUGGUGAGAGUGGCGAACGGGUGAGUAAUGCGUGACCGACCUGCCCCAUGCUCCGGAAUAGCUCCUGGAAACGGGUGGUAAUGCCGGAUGUUCCACAUGAUCGCAUGUGAUUGUGGGAAAGAUUCUAUCGGCGUGGGAUGGGGUCGCGUCCUAUCAGCUUGUUGGUGAGGUAACGGCUCACCAAGGCUUCGACGGGUAGCCGGCCUGAGAGGGCGACCGGCCACAUUGGGACUGAGAUACGGCCCAGACUCCUACGGGAGGCAGCAGUGGGGAAUAUGCACAAUGGGCGCAAGCCUGAUGCAGCGACGCCGCGUGAGGGAUGGAGGCCUUCGGGUUGUAAACCUCUUUUGUUUGGGAGCAAGCCUUCGGGUGAGUGUACCUUUCGAAUAAGCGCCGGCUAACUACGUGCCAGCAGCCGCGGUAAUACGUAGGGCGCAAGCGUUAUCCGGAUUUAUUGGGCGUAAAGGGCUCGUAGGCGGCUCGUCGCGUCCGGUGUGAAAGUCCAUCGCUUAACGGUGGAUCUGCGCCGGGUACGGGCGGGCUGGAGUGCGGUAGGGGAGACUGGAAUUCCCGGUGUAACGGUGGAAUGUGUAGAUAUCGGGAAGAUCACCGAUGGCGAAGGCAGGUCUCUGGGCCGUCACUGACGCUGAGGAGCGAAAGCGUGGGGAGCGAACAGGAUUAGAUACCCUGGUAGUCCACGCCGUAAACGGUGGACGCUGGAUGUGGGGCACGUUCCACGUGUUCCGUGUCGGAGCUAACGCGUUAAGCGUCCCGCCUGGGGAGUACGGCCGCAAGGCUAAAACUCAAAGAAAUUGACGGGGGCCCGCACAAGCGGCGGAGCAUGCGGAUUAAUUCGAUGCAACGCGAAGAACCUUACCUGGGCUUGACAUGUUCCCGACGACGCCAGAGAUGGCGUUUCCCUUCGGGGCGGGUUCACAGGUGGUGCAUGGUCGUCGUCAGCUCGUGUCGUGAGAUGUUGGGUUAAGUCCCGCAACGAGCGCAACCCUCGCCCCGUGUUGCCAGCACGUUAUGGUGGGAACUCACGGGGGACCGCCGGGGUUAACUCGGAGGAAGGUGGGGAUGACGUCAGAUCAUCAUGCCCCUUACGUCCAGGGCUUCACGCAUGCUACAAUGGCCGGUACAGCGGGAUGCGACAUGGCGACAUGGAGCGGAUCCCUGAAAACCGGUCUCAGUUCGGAUCGGAGCCUGCAACCCGGCUCCGUGAAGGCGGAGUCGCUAGUAAUCGCGGAUCAGCAACGCCGCGGUGAAUGCGUUCCCGGGCCUUGUACACACCGCCCGUCAAGUCAUGAAAGUGGGCAGCACCCGAAGCCGGUGGCCUAACCCCUUGUGGGAUGGAGCCGUCUAAGGUGAGGCUCGUGAUUGGGACUAAGUCGUAACAAGGUA
rnacentral:rRNA from 1 species